AAUUAAUUUUAUUUUCUAUUCCAGGUGAAGGACAGGAAGUUGAAGAUGACAGAAUCAUCUACAGUGCUGUCAGAAUAAAACGGCAUCAUGAGAAUAAACCAUUAAAUAAAGAAAUGGAUCCAGCUGCCGUUUACUCUGCAGUGAGAACAGACGACAUUAAUUAUGGACAGAUUGUCAUCAAAAACAAGAAACUAAAGUCAAAACCAAGAGAAAUGGAUCCAGCUGCCGUUUACUCUGCAGUGAGAACAGACGACAUUAAUUAUGGACAGAUUGUCAUCAAAAA